rnacentral:rRNA from 1 species
GACGAACGCUGGCGGCGUGCUUAACACAUGCAAGUCGAACGGUAAGGCCCUUCGGGGUACACGAGUGGCGAACGGGUGAGUAAUACGUGGGUGAUCUGCCCUGCACUUCGGGAUAAGCCUGGGAAACUGGGUCUAAUACCGGAUAGGACCACUGCCGGCAUGGGUGGUGGUGGAAAGCUUUUGCGGUGUGGGAUGGGCCCGCGGCCUAUCAGCUUGUUGGUGGGGUGAUGGCCUACCAAGGCGACGACGGGUAGCCGGCCUGAGAGGGUGACCGGCCACACUGGGACUGAGAUACGGCCCAGACUCCUACGGGAGGCAGCAGUGGGGAAUAUUGCACAAUGGGCGCAAGCCUGAUGCAGCGACGCCGCGUGAGGGAUGACGGCCUUCGGGUUGUAAACCUCUUUCAGCACCGACGAAGCGCAAGUGACGGUAGGUGCAGAAGAAGGACCGGCCAACUACGUGCCAGCAGCCGCAGUAA